UACGAAGGGUGCAAGCGUUACUCGGAAUUACUGGGCGUAAAGGGUGCGUAGGUGGUCGUUUAAGUCCGUUGUGAAAUCCCUGGGCUCAACCUGGGAAUGGCAGUGGAUACUGGACGGCUAGAAUGCGGUAGAGGGUAGUGGAAUUCCUGGUGUAGCGGUGAAAUGCGCAGAUAUCAGGAGGAACACCAGUGGCGAAGGCGGUGCUCUGGGCCGGAACUGACGCUGAGGAGCGAAAGCGUGGGGAGCAAACAGG
rnacentral:rRNA from 1 species